GGGCGGGUAGCUCAGUACGGACAGAGCACCGGCCUCCUAAGUCGGCGGUCGUGGGUUCAAAUCCCACCCCGCCCGCCA
rnacentral:tRNA from 1 species